UUACGGCCGUAUCCCGUAGAAACAUUGGUUCCCACACGAUCACCGAAGUUCAGCAACAUCUAGCCUGGUCAGUAUCUAAAUGGAUGACCGCUUGGGAAUACCAGGUGUGGUAAG